GUAGGAAGACGACUGCAUCUUCUCUGGUCUGAUCGCUGAGUCAUAAGCUCUGGUAGCUGCUACUUAGAAAUCAUGGGCUCUCGGUGGAGGAAGAUUUUGCCUGAGGCCAAACUAUGUGACAUUGAGAGUCUGAACUAGAAACUCAGGAGACUUGACUCCUUGCGCGGUGCUCCUUCCCGUACCGCACGCUGCCCCUUGGCCAAAUCGGUUCUGCGUAGUCUCCUGGGCCACAAGCCUCGCUAGGACCUCUUCUCCAACCUCCCUGACUCAGUGGAGGGGUUAACCCAGAAGGGCGACUGGCGUCCCGGCGGAGAUCUGGCCGCGUUGGUUGCCCGCCAGGCAGGCCCUUCGCUUGCAGAACAAACCACAGCGCUGCCGCUGAGCCUAGCGCGGCUUUCGCAAACGUUGGUGGCCCCCAAAAGGGGCCCCGGACCCGGCGGUGUGCAGUUCUUUCCACGCCCCUGCUCCUGUUUUCUCCUCCCAGGUCUGAAAAAUGGAACUGCCAAUACCUGUGGCAUUCACAAGGACACAGAAAGAUGCAAGGAUUUGUCCAACGUCUCAUACACUGGUCAGAUCUGUCUGUGGUCUGAGUCAGAGACCCUGAAAAAGAAAAGGCAGCCCAGGGGGACCGUGGUUCCAGAGUCCUGUCCAUCACCUGCCCUGUCCUCCCAGGACAGCAGCCAGUGGAGACGGAGCCUUACAGAGGGAAUGGUGUGUGCGGCUGUGGCCCAAAGCAGGAUCUCUCCAUCAGCUGAGAGUGGGGUGGGACAGGAGGUCAAGGCCUGAGGGGUCUACUUCUAUCCCAGCCUAGAAGGCUCAAGGUCUUGCUAAGAGAUCUAACCCCUCCCUUUCAGUCUCUUCCUGGCACCCUGGCCUGGCACCCUCUAGGAUGCAAUGUUGUUUAAUAAUUCAGCAGAUGCAGACAAAGAUAGCAGCUCUGAAAAUAACCUAACUAAGCCCCAGCCUCCAUCUCCUCUUUCCCCAGCAGACUGCCCUGCCCUUCCCCCAAGGUCUCUGGUCGCCCCAUACACCUGUCAGUGCCCCUGGCUGCCAAUGGGCACCUGGUUCAACACUCUUCCUCUUCCUUCUAGUCUUUCUCCUCCUUCUCCCCUCUCCUCCUCACCUCCAUGAGAACUCCAUUCUCAUAUUAAAAGCUUUUAUAUUAAUCAGAGCUUAAAGAAAUCUUGUGCUACAAGUAGACUUGGGUUUAAUUCAUUAUGUGGACUUCGAGCAAGUUCCUUCUCUCUAAGCUUCUGUUCCUACAUUUGUAAAACGAGGUCUCUGGAUUCCUAAAUGGGCAUGAACAAAAUGUUUAGGGGGUGGCAAUUAUUUGGCCAGGGGACUAGAUAUCUUUCCUAGGAAGACAUAACAGCAGUGGCAGCGUCAUCUCAGUCAGCAGCACUGCAGUCCAUCCUGCUGCUCCAUCUG
rnacentral:lncRNA from 1 species